rnacentral:rRNA from 1 species
AGAGUUUGAUCCUGGCUCAGAUUGAACGCUGGCGGCAUGCUUUACACAUGCAAGUCGAACGGUAACAGGCCGCAAGGUGCUGACGAGUGGCGAACGGGUGAGUAAUGCAUCGGAACGUGCCCAGUCGUGGGGGAUAACGCAGCGAAAGCUGCGCUAAUACCGCAUACGAUCUAUGGAUGAAAGCGGGGGACCUUCGGGCCUCGCGCGAUUGGAGCGGCCGAUGUCAGAUUAGGUAGUUGGUGGGGUAAAGGCUCACCAAGCCGACGAUCUGUAGCUGGUCUGAGAGGACGACCAGCCACACUGGGACUGAGACACGGCCCAGACUCCUACGGGAGGCAGCAGUGGGGAAUUUUGGACAAUGGGGGCAACCCUGAUCCAGCCAUUCCGCGUGAGUGAAGAAGGCCUUCGGGUUGUAAAGCUCUUUCAGCUGGAGUGAAACGGUGCGCUCUAACAUAGCGUGCUAAUGACGGUACCAGCAGAAGAAGCACCGGCUAACUACGUGCCAGCAGCCGCGGUAAUACGUAGGGUGCGAGCGUUAAUCGGAAUUACUGGGCGUAAAGCGUGCGCAGGCGGAUUGUUAAGCAAGAUGUGAAAUCCCCGGGCUUAACCUGGGAAUGGCAUUUUGAACUGGCAGUCUAGAGUGCGUCAGAGGGGGGUGGAAUUCCACGUGUAGCAGUGAAAUGCGUAGAGAUGUGGAGGAACACCGAUGGCGAAGGCAGCCCCCUGGGAUGACACUGACGCUCAUGUACGAAAGCGUGGGUAGCAAACAGGAUUAGAUACCCUGGUAGUCCACGCCCCUAAACGAUGUCAACUGGUUGUUUGGGGGAGUGAAAUCCCUUAGUAACGAAGCUAACGCGUGAAGUUGACCGCCUGGGGAGUACGGUCGCAAGAUUAAAACUCAAAGGAAUUGACGGGGACCCGCACAAGCGGUGGAUGAUGUGGAUUAAUUCGAUGCAACGCGAAAAACCUUACCUACCCUUGACAUGUCCGGAAUCCUGCAGAGAUGCGGGAGUGCCCGAAAGGGAAUCGGAACACAGGUGCUGCAUGGCUGUCGUCAGCUCGUGUCGUGAGAUGUUGGGUUAAGUCCCGCAACGAGCGCAACCCUUAUCAUUAGUUGCUACGCAAGGGCACUCUAAUGAGACUGCCGGUGACAAACCGGAGGAAGGUGGGGAUGACGUCAAGUCCUCAUGGCCCUUAUGGGUAGGGCUUCACACGUCAUACAAUGGUCGGUACAGAGGGUUGCCAAGCCGCGAGGUGGAGCCAAUCCCAGAAAGCCGAUCGUAGUCCGGAUUGUUCUCUGCAACUCGAGAGCAUGAAGUCGGAAUCGCUAGUAAUCGCGGAUCAGCAUGUCGCGGUGAAUACGUUCCCGGGUCUUGUACACACCGCCCGUCACACCAUGGGAGUGGAAUCUGCCAGAAGUAGGUAGCCUAACCGCAAGGAGGGCGCUUACCANCGGUGGGUUUCAUGACUGGGGUGAAGUCGUAANCAAGGUA